CCCUUAGAUGUUCUGGGCCGCACGCGCGCUACACUGAUGCAUUCAACGAGCCUAUCCUUGACCGACAGGUCCGGGUAAUCUUUGAAUCUGCAUCGUGACGGGGAUAGAUUAUUGCAAUUAUUAAUCUUCAACGAGGAAUGCCUAGUAGGCGCAAGUCAUCAGCUUGCGUCGAUUACGUCCCUGCCCUUUGUACACACCGCCCGUCGCUCCUACCGUUUGGGUGUGCUGGUGAAAUGUUCGGAUCGGCCGUUUGUCGCGGUUUCCGCGGCUCGUGGCUGAGAAGUUCAUUAAACCCUCCCACCUAGAGGAAGGAGAAGUCGUAACA
rnacentral:rRNA from 1 species